rnacentral:rRNA from 1 species
UACGUAGGGUGCAAGCGUUGUCCGGAAUUAUUGGGCGUAAAGAGCUCGUAGGCGGUUUGUUGCGUCGGCUGUGAAAUCCCGAGGCUCAACCUCGGGUCUGCAGUCGAUACGAGCAAACUAGAGUGUUGCAGGGGAGACUGGAAUUCCUGGUGUAGCGGUGAAAUGCGCAGAUAUCAGGAGGAACACCGGUGGCGAAGGCGGGUCUCUGGGCAACACGUGACGCUGGAGGAGCGAAAGCGUGGGGAGCGAACAGG